GGCUGGGUGGACGAGGGAGGUCUAUUUGGAACCGACAGGCCGUUCAAAGCGGCGGGGAUGGCCUACCACGGAGAAAAUCAGGCCAUCUUCCUCUCCAUCCCCAAUCAUCGCUGCCGACUCCUCCCCAAUCCCGUCGCUUAGGAAAAAAAAUCCCCAUCUUUGGCGUCUACUCGCUCCCUCCAGAUCGGUAUCCUCCUCUCCUUCCCUCGCCGCCGUGUUGUGCCCCGAGGCAAUCCAUCAGGGCGGCAUGCCCCCAAGCCGAGCGCCUCGUAUGUGGCGUGGCGUGGGUUGCUGGCUGGAGCUCCGGGCUCCGGCCGGUCCGUCGUGAGGCAUCCAUGAUGAGGUUGAGGAGCUGCAGGAGGCCUCAUUCAGAUGUUGAUCUAAUCGCGGUAGUCGUGGGAUCCGGGUCGGUGGAUGCACCGGCAAGCAUGACGACCUCUCCCUGGAUUUUCCAGCCGGACGGCGAUCUCCUCGAAAGGUGCCCAUGCUCCCGAAGCAGAGCAACACCACGCUACCCUCCGGCUGCGCGUCCAGCCGCGCGAGGCACUCGUGCUGCUUCCUCUCGGCGCCGUCGCCGGAGGAGACCAUCCGCGCAACACAGUGCACCGGCGGUGUGGCGUGGCUGCGGAUGCUAUUUUCGAGGGCGUGCAGCGGGGGAGGUGAGCUUGGAGGGGCGGUUCCCCAGGAAGCACAGCGGCGCAUCGUGCCAUCGCCGAUCUUGCCGAAGUUGGUUACGUCGAUCUGGGGCUGCGUAUGCGGGAGGUGCAGGUUGAUGGCGAGGCUGCUGGCGCUGCCGGUGUAGAAACAUAGACCGGCCAGUUCAGCUCAGUGGCGACGUAGACGGCGUCAACAGAGAAGCAGAACAUGUUGAGGGCGAGGGUGCACACGGGUGCACCGAGCCGAGAUUCUUCAGAUUAUGCCGCUUCAGUUGAUCCAUCUUUUCACCAAUGUGAAGAGGGAGGAAGAAGCAUCGAUUAAGCUUUUUGGUGUUAUUACCACUGAGGAAGAAGAAGCAAGAUAAUUAUAUACUUAUGAGUUAUUAGGUUUGUUAGAAGGUAUGUGCGUACAUUCUUUUAUGCCGACUCAAACUGUAAUCGAAGAAUGGAAAUGAAAAAUUGUAAUACAAGAUACAAGUUUCAGUAAGUCAUUAUUCUUUGCUCUUGGUAAUUAUUGCCAUGAUUCCAUGUUGUUUACUUGAUACUACUAUCUUUGGUUCCAGUCCACAGAUGUUUGUCAAUUAGUAUGAACCUAUGAUGUUUGUUACAUUGUUAUUUCAGUAGUGCUAUUUUAAAGUUAGUAUUGUCAAUUAGUAUGAACCUAUGAUGUUUGUUACAUUGAGUUUCUGGCAACAAAAGAUAAAUAACAUCACAAUUAUCUAUAUUUAACCUUUCUUCCAGCCAAUGUUAAUUGUUCGCUAGCGGGUCUAAGUGAGACAUGGUCUUCUGGCACCAAACACAUCAGCACCUCUGAUUUAGGUGUAAACUUGCAAGAAUAGGACUGUAUGCAGUUUUUUUUAGUGUCCAUGCUUCAUAACCAGUAUUCCUUCUGCCUAACAGGAAAACAUCAAUCUGUUCUCCUAGCAUGAAUUUUCCUGCUUAUAUAGCCACUACAAGUAACUCUUGCUCUAUCUGGGUUUAUGCUCACCUGCUUUACUUGGUUUGAAGCAGACAGUUGUUGCCAAACCUUACUGGAACUUAAGAUUUUCUCAAACCUGGGAGAAGUUGGAGCAUGGCAUGACGACAUGAUCCGUUAAAAAAACCUCACCCAUGUGCUGAAGGAAUCUUGGUAUCUUGGAGGAGCUGGAGCAACUUUGAAAGAUGAGAUUUGAGGAGCAAUGAUCUCAACUCAAGUGAACUUGAAGGUGCGGGUUUCCUUCCAGCAAACAUCGACUUGUGAAAUCUAGGAGAGAUUCGAGCAGGCCGCCUCUGAAGCUAAGUGGAAGAACCUACCGACCAUGCCGUGCUGCCAAGGACACUGACUGGACGAUCAGCCAAGGACACUAACUGGACGAUCACGAUCAGGGGCCACCAGCAAUUUCUGACACGUGUGUAUUUUCUUGAAAUAGACAACUGCUCUGCAUAUACAGCUGCUCUGCAUAUAUGUAUUGACGAGUUAUGUGGUUGUAUUUUCAACCUCUAUAGCAGACCCUCUAGAGGAAUAUGAUCUAUUCCCUGGGUUUUUUUUUCCAGUGGGUUUAAUUUGUCAGCUUGACUUCACCAGUUUUGAUCUCGAAUAAUUGUGUCGAAACUAGCCCAUAUGUAACUGUGUGUUCUGCUGACUUUGUUGGUUUCACCAUAAAGUAAAGAUUUUGCUCAGCUA